rnacentral:lncRNA from 1 species
UACAAUGGCAUGAUCUUGUGUGAAGAACGUUUUAUAAUUUUUAUUUGGAAGUUCCAUAUUACAAAUACAUCUCCUUUGUUUCGAUAGGAUCCUGAUUGAGUCAAUGCUUUGCAUUCUCAGUCCUCUGCAUAAAGCUGAGAGAUGCCUACAGCUGAGAGUGAAGCAAAAGUAAAAACCAAAGUUCGCUUUGAAGAAUUGCUUAAGACCCACAGUGAUCUAAUGCGUGAAAAGAAAAAACUGAAGAAAAAACUUGUCAGGUCUGAAGAAAACAUCUCAGUAAGUAAAUGAUCAUUGGGUAAUAGUGAUUUACAUAUGCGCAUAAAAUGCAGAUAUGGCUGCAUUUUAUGUUAAAAUUCUAAGGAAUUUUGAAAAUUAAAAACAGUAACACUAUGUCAUGGUCAAUAACAUGUGGUAAAAAUAAAGUUUAUAUUAGAAUCAACA